GAGUGUCUUGCUCCGCCUUCAGCUGAGGUGUGGGCGCAGCCCUUUUCCACGAGGAGCUCUGGUGAACAAGUGCGAGUCCUCUACAUGUGGUGCUCUGCAAGCAAGUGAAAAUAGACUAAGCUCAAAGGAAAGAAAAGCGCUUGAUGACAAUUUUACCAAAAUGCUACCAUGUCCAUUGAUCACCUUUGAGAUUAAAAGAAAUAUUGUGAGGAAGACUGGUGUAUGAUCAGUCAGAUUAAUGAUUACUUAAGGUGAAAUGGAAGCUAAAAAAGAUUCAACAUCAGUCAUCUAUGGAAAAUGAAUAGGUGAUCUUCUAGGUAUGUUCCAAGCUUUAGUAAUUCAUGACCUAAGGAAUAACUGUAGUCAUGAAGUUAAGAUGUAAAUGUUUAAUUACAAUAAUUACCAACAAUGUUUCUGUACACUAUAGUAGAGAAGCUAGAGAAAAGUGUAUGUGAGUGUAAAACACUUAAAGUUGAUAUACAAGAGAAAUGUUUUAUUAAUUUAUUGGAAGAUAUUUCAUUUUUCUCAUACAAAAGUAUUACCUAGUGAUAUCUAAUGACUUUCCAUGUUUUGUUGUUAUUAUCAUUUUGACCUCUUGUGUUUCAUAAUAUGUUUGCAAACAAUUACAUCCAUCUAGGGGAAAUUGUUUAGAGACCUAACAGCCUUCUAUGAGUCAAAAUCAUUUGUGCAUAGAACAAGUAAAAAUCAUUUAACAUAUAGGAAUAUAACAUGUAUAGCUGGUAAAUCUGAAAUUGCUAAUGUAGAUUGCCACUCCAGUCAAUAUAUAUCAAACAUUUCUAUCAAAUGUACCAUCUAUCAUGUAUGUGCAUUGCUUUUGUAGUUUUUAUUUCCCUUUUUAUUGUAGAAAGUAUAUAUUACUGUGACUAAAAACUACUCUUUGGGGAAUACAGUGGUUUCCAGGUCAGUGGAAAUGUGGAUUUAAAUAUUAAAAAGUGGAGUAGUUUAACCCUAGUUUGACCUUUAUCACCUCUCAGGUGAAUUGGGUGUAUUUGAAAGAAUGUAUCUGAAAAACAACAGAAUAGCGAAAAAAUUACAUCUGUGUAACCCUGUGGUCAAUCCAAUAACAGUAUUUUUAAUGAAUAAGUUCAAAACAGUAUACAUGUGUGUAUGUCCACUGUGUCUCUUUGUUUGUGCAUAUUUGUAUUUAUGUACUUAUGUAUUUUCAAUGCAUUGUCUGUCUUGUGAAUAUUUCAGUCUUUCAAGACAUCAUUUGCUUUUUCUACCAAAAUAUCAAUCUCCAUUUAUAUUACUCUAGCAAGUAAACUUCAAGCUUCAAAUAAGUUAAGAAAUACUGCCAUGAAAGCUGGAAAGAAGGAGUCUAAAGACCAACUUAUUGGAAUUCCUGCUAUGGCUCAGUGGGUUAAGAACCUAACUAGCAUCCAUGAGGAUGUGGGGUUCAUUCCUUGGCCUUGCUCAGUGGAUUAAGGAUCCGGUGUUGCUGUGAGCUCUGGUGUAGGUUGCAGACACGGCUCGGAUCCUGUGUUGCUGUGGCUGUGGUAUAGGGCCACAGCUGCAGCUCCAAUUCUACUCCUGGCCUGGGAACUUCCUUAUGCCAUGGAUGUGGCCCUAAAAAAGCAAAAAAAAAAAAAAAA
rnacentral:lncRNA from 1 species